rnacentral:rRNA from 1 species
ACCCAAUAGAUACCCCGGUAGUCCACGCCCUAAACGAUGUCAACUGGUUGUUGGGGAAGGUAACUUCCUUAGUAACGAAAGCUAAACGCGUGAAAGUUGACCGCCUGGGGAGUACGGCCGCAAGGUUAAAACUCAAAGGAAUUGACGGGGACCCGCACAAGCGGUGGAUGAUGUGGAUUAAUUCGAUGCAAACGCGAAGAACCUUACCUACCCUUGACAUGUAGCGAACCCUGCUGAGAGGCGGGGGUGCCCGAAAGGGAGCGCUAACACAGGUGCUGCAUGGCUGUCGUCAGCUCGUGUCGUGAGAUGUUGGGUUAAGUCCCGCAACGAGCGCAACCCUUGUCACUAGUUGCUACGAAAGGGCACUCUAGUGAGACUGCCGGUGACAAACCGGAGGAAGGUGGGGAUGACGUCAAGUCCUCAUGGCCCUUAUGGGUAGGGCUUCACACGUCAUACAAUGGCGCAUACAGAGGGUUGCCAACCCGGCGAGGGGGAGCCAAUCCCAGAAAGUGCGUCGUAGUCCGGAUUGUUCUCUGCAACUCGAGAGCAUGAA